rnacentral:snRNA from 1 species
AUACUUACCUGGAUGGAGUCAAUAGGUGAUCAAUAAGACCUAUGGCUUAGAGCAGUGAUCUUCAUUGCACUUAGAAGGGGUGCUGUUUUAAGGUCUGUCCAAGUGACAGAGCCUACAUCAUUAUUUGUGGUAGAGGAGACCUGAGUUCGCGCGGUCUCUA